rnacentral:ncRNA from 1 species
CAAAACACGUUGAUCAGACUAGUAGCUAAUGACCGUUAUUUAGCGAGCCAAUGUUGAUGGGAGAUUGGUAAACCGUAGUUAGCGAAUCACAUCUGGUAGUUAAUCGUCUGAAAAUAGUAGGAUGAUUCGGGAAGGCCCGUUAGCGCUGCGAGUUUAAAGUUUGAACUCUCUGAGGUGGUUAUCGUGAGGUAAUCAUAAAAAUGAGGUGGCACCGCGUCCUACGCCCUCAUCGUCGAUAUGACGAUGGGGGCUUUUUUUAGCUUUAAACUUGAUAAGGUGAUGAAUGUGAAUUGAUCACGAAAAAAGGUGGUACCACGCCCUGGCGUCCUUUGG